UCCCAUCCACCAAUCCCCGAGCACAAUCGCUUCAUUAUUUGCAUAACCACCCCCUGUGGCUUGGCCCCGCCCACCUCCUCCGGCUGCUGUUUGCUCCCAGUUCCCUCCCAGUGCUCCCAGUAAGAGCGGCCCUGGCAGGGAAAGCGCUCCCAAAUCCUUCCCGCUGAUCUCAGGAUCGCUCCAGGUGCUCCCAGGAUCGCUCCCAGUGCCGCGCGGGAAACCCGCCCAGGGCUGAGCUUUUGGGGAUCGGCACUGCCCGGGCCGGGCUGGGAGCAGAGGAGGAGUGGGAGGAAGAGGAGGGACAGAGGAGGAGGAGGAAGAGGAAGAGCAGCACCAACACCCCCCGGUUUCCCCGCUCAGGCUGUCGCUCCCCCGGCUCUGCCAGCAUCACCCCCUCCGCCAGAACCCGCAGACCAGGAUUCGUUAUUCCCAAACAUUGGCAGGAUGAAAAAGGAGGAGGCCGUAGGGAAGAGGAAGAUGGCCCGGGAGCCCCAGGCAGACCAGGAGCUGAGGAUGGAGAGCAGGGAGGACAAAUGCCCACAGCAGAACCUCGUGGAAGAGGCUGUUUUGAGCAGCUCCACAGCACAGGAAUCCAACGAGGAGGAAAAGCCCCAGAGAUCCCUCACGAGGAGGGGCUGCAAACGCAGAUCACGGGGAUCUGAGGAGGAAAGACCCACCCUUAGCUGGGGAGACAGUUGGAGCUCAGAGCUGGGGGUCCCUGAGCAGCUUCAGGAUGGGGAGAAGCCCCACAAGUGCUCAGAAUGUGGGAAGAGCUUUAGUAAGAGAUCCUCCCUGAUCAUCCACUGCAGAAUCCACACCGGGGAACGGCCCUAUGGCUGUGGGCAGUGUGGGAAGAGCUUCAAGAGGAAUUCCGAACUGACCAGACACCGGAGGAUCCACACAGGAGAACGGUCCCAUGAGUGUCCCCAGUGUGGCAAGAGCUUCUGCAACCGUCCUGACCUGAUCAAACACCAGAGGAGCCACACAGGGGAGAGGCCCUACUAUUGUGGAAUGUGUGGGAAGAGCUUCAGCCAUAGCUCCGGCCUGAUCGUCCACAUGGUAAUCCACUCCAGGGAGAGGCCCUACGAGUGUGGGCAGUGUGGGAAGAGCUUCAGAAGGAGCUAUGAACUGAGCAGACACCAGAGGAGAAACACAGGGGAACAGCCCUACAAGUGUCCCGAGUGUGGGAAGAGCUUCUGCAAGCGUGUUGACCUGAUCAAACACCAGAGGACCCACAUGGGGGAAGGUCCCUACGAGUGUGGUAAAUGCUCAAAGAGGUUUUACACCAAGUCCGAUCUCAUCAAGCACCAGCACAUUCACACAGAGGAGACGCCCUUCCGCUGCCCUGACUGCGGGAAGGGCUUCAGAUACAACUGCACCCUCGUCAUCCACCGGAGGAGCCACACUGGGGAGAGGCCCUACGAGUGUGAUCAAUGCAGGAAGAGGUUUAAGACCAGCUCCAAUCUUCUGCUUCACCAGCGCAUUCACACAGAUGAGAGGCCCUUCCACUGCCCUGACUGUGGGAAGGGCUUCCAGCACAACUGCACCCUCGUCAAACACCGGCGCAUCCACACAGGGGAGAAGCCCUACGAGUGUUCUGAGUGUGGGAAGAGCUUCUCUCAGAGUGGUAACCUGACCAGACACCAACGGAGCCACUACUAAAGGCAGCCCUUUUCGCUCCCAGUGCCGCGCUGUUUCGGAACCCACCCAGGGCAGAGCGCGGCUGCUUUUGGGGAUCGACGUUGCCCGGGCCAGGCUGGGAGUGAAAGAAAAGCGGGGGGAAGAGGAGGGACAGAGAAUGUGGAGGAAGGAGUGGAAGGAAGAGGAGCAGCAGAACCACGCUAGUUUCCCCGCCGCCUUCCCCUGCUGCUUUGGUCGACGCUCCCCCGGCUCCUGCUGCAUCGCCCCCUCCAGGAGCCGCAGGAUUUCCCAUUUCCAAACCUUGGCCCGAUGGAGAACGAGGAGGCCGUUGUUUUGCGGAGAAAAGAAGAAACCUCACAACUUCGUAAAAGUUGUAAAGCCCGGUAUGCUUUUAUUACGACACGUGCCGGACGCAAGUCCCCCAACAAGGCAUGGGUACCUCUGAAGACCUCGGGUCUUCUUUUAUCCCCCUUCCAAAUGCAUAUGCAUA